rnacentral:tRNA from 1 species
CGGGGAGUGGCGCAGUCUGGUAGCGCACCUGCUUUGGGGGCAGGAGGUCGGGGGUUCGAAUCCCCCCUCCCCGA